rnacentral:rRNA from 1 species
UACAGAGGGUGCGAGCGUUAAUCGGAAUUACUGGGCGUAAAGCGCACGUAGGCGGCUUGGUAUGUCGGGUGUGAAAUCCCCGGGCUCAACCUGGGAACUGCAUCCGAAACUGCCUUGCUCGAGUAUGGGAGAGGGAAGUGGAAUUUCCGGUGUAGCGGUGAAAUGCGUAGAUAUCUGGAGGAAUACCGGGUGGCGAAGGCGGCAUCCUGGACCGGCAUUGACGCUGAGGAGCGAAAAGCCAGGGGGAGCAAACGGG